rnacentral:rRNA from 1 species
CAGUUUGAUCCUGGCUCAGAUUGAACGCUAGCGGCAUGCUUAACACAUGCAAGUCGAAACGGUAACAGGCCUAGCUUGCUAGGUGCUGACGAGUGGGCGGACGGGUGAGUAACGCGUAGGAAUCUACCUAGUAGUGGGGGAUAAACCUGGUGAAAACCCAGGCUAAUACCCGCAUAAGCCCUAAGGGGGAAAGCAGGGGACCGUAAGGCCCUUGUGCUAUUAGAUGAGCCUGCGUCAGAUUAGCUUGUUGGUGGGGUAAAGGCCUACCAAGGCGAUGAUCUGUAGCUGGUCUGAGAGGACGACCAGCCACACUGGGACUGAGACUCGGCCCAGACUCCUACGGGAGGCAGCAGUGGGGAAUAUUGGACAAUGGGCGCAAGCCUGAUCCAGCAAUGCCGCGUGUGUGAAGAAGGCCUGCGGGUUGUAAAGCACUUUCAGUGGGGAGGAAGGUCUCGAUAUUAAUACUAUUGAGAAUUGACGUUACCCACAGAAGAAGCACCGGCUAACUCUGUGCCAGCAGCCGCGGUAAUACAGAGGGUGCAAGCGUUAAUCGGAAUUACUGGGCGUAAAGGGUGCGUAGGUGGUUUUUUAAGUCAGAUGUGAAAAGCCCUGGGCUCAACCUAGGAAUUGCAUUUGAUACUGAAUAACUUGAGUAUGGUAGAGGGAAAGUGGAAUUUCCAGUGUAGCGGUGAAAUGCGUAGAUAUUGGAAGGAACAUCAGUGGGCGAAGGCGACUUUCCUGGACCAUUACUGACACUGAGGCACGAAAAGCGUGGGGAGCGAACAGGAUUAGAUACCCUGGUAGUCCACGCCGUAAACGAUGAGAACUAGAUGUUAGGGGGCUUAGACCUCUUAGUAUCGCAGCAAACGCGUUAAGUUCUCCGCCUGGGGAGUACGGCCGCAAGGUUAAAACUCA